GAGUUUGAUCUUGGCUCAGAUUGAACGCUGGCGGCAGGCUUAACACAUGCAAGUCGAGCGGGGGAGAUUGCUUCGGUAAUUGACCUAGCGGCGGACGGGUGAGUAAUACUUAGGAAUCUGCCUAUUAAUGGGGGACAACAUCUCGAAAGGGAUGCUAAUACCGCAUACGCCCUACGGGGAAAGGACAGGGAGUCACUUGUGACCUUGCGUUAAUAGAUGAGCCUAAGUCGGAUUAGCUAGUUGGUGGGGUAAAGGCCUACCAAGGCGACGAUCUGUAGCGGGUCGUGAGAGGAUGAUCCGCCACACUGGGACUGAGACACGGCCCAGACUCCUACGGGAGGCAGCAGUGGGGAAGUAUUGGACAAUGGGGGGAACCCUGAUCCAGCCAUGCGCGUGUGUGAAGAAGGCCUUAUGGUUGUAAAGCACUUUAAGCGAGGAGGAGGCUCCUGUAGUUAAUACCUACAGAGAGUAGGUACGUUACUCGCAGAAUAAGCACCGGCUAACUCUGU
rnacentral:rRNA from 1 species